rnacentral:misc_RNA from 1 species
AAGUCGUAACAAGGUUUCCGUAGGUGAACCUGCGGAAGGAUCAUUAACAAGAUUAUAUACUUGUGUUUGGUGUGUGGGUCGGGGGGUGUGUUGUCGUUGCAGAUUAGAUUAGCUUGGAUUGCAAGGCGUGCAAAAAUAAAUGCGCGCGUUGUGCUGUGUGCAGAGCGUGCGAACGCGAACGCGAACGCGCACCAAUCUCUAAUCUAAUCUACACGGCGCACACCAACCACACGCGCACCAAUAAUAACACAACACACUCACAUACAUUUACUCUUUGACACUCAAUGGAGCAUUCCAAACAUUAAAACAAAACAAACAAAACUUUUAACAAUGGAUCUCUCGGCUCUU